GAUUAAGUUAGAAAGGGCGCAUGGUGGAUGCCUUGGCACUAGGAGCCUAUGAA
rnacentral:rRNA from 1 species